rnacentral:rRNA from 1 species
GACGAACGCUGGCGGCGUGCUUAACACAUGCAAGUCGAGCGGAAAGGCCCUUUCGGGGGUACUCGAGCGGCGAACGGGUGAGUAACACGUGAGUAAUCUGCCCUUGGCUUUGGGAUAGCUUCGGGAAACCGAAAUUAAUACCGGAUAUGACCACUCCAGGCAUCUGGUGGUGGUGGAAAGUUUUUUCGGCCAGGGAUGUGCUCGCGGCCUAUCAGCUUGUUGGUGGGGUAAUGGCCUACCAAGGCUUCGACGGGUAGCCGGCCUGAGAGGGUGACGGGCCACCCUGGGACUGAGACACGGCCCAGACUCCUACGGGAGGCAGCAGUGGGGAAUAUUGGACAAUGGGCGGAAGCCUGAUCCAGCAACGCCGCGUGAGGGAUGACGGCCUUCGGGUUGUAAACCUCUUUCACCACCGACGAAGCGCAAGUGACGGUAGGUGGGGAAGAAGCACCGGCCAACUACGUGCCAGCAGCCGCAGUAACAC